UUAAAAUAAUUUUAAUAUUCUUACAUAAUAAAAGACCACUAACGAUUUAAAAAACAUAUUUAGAGACAUGUCUUCUUCGAAAUUAUUUUGUUUCAAAGCUCGAUGUGGUGCAUUCUUUUCUCAUAGACUCGCCUCUCGGUAGGAUAGUGUGCCGUCAAUGAUGUAGUGUUUUCCACCAAAUCAUACCAAAGAUCAAGUGUUGGUUGUAUAGUUAAGUUGAUGGAAUAAAAAAA
rnacentral:lncRNA from 1 species